rnacentral:rRNA from 1 species
AUGAUGGAGAAUUCUCCUAUCUGUAGUUACACUGAAUUGUUCAUAGAUAUUAUCCGCUCAUUUUAUCUACUUGGUAGAAUCAAUGGUCUGCUAUUCACUGUUAAUCUAGCAGUAUUGCUUAUUUUCAAAUGCAGUAGCACUACCUAUACUUUGUGCAUCACAUGUUUUUGGUUAACCCACAUUCUCCUGCUUAAUCACCCCAAUGCACACAUUUUCAUAUGCUGGAGGCAGGUUUGUUUGUUCCCUGGGGAUCCAUUGGUUGCUGCUGCCAUUUGGUUUAAGGGAAACAGGGUGUAUAAAACUUGCAGAGCUUUAUUAUUAUAUACUACAAGUAUGUACGCCAAAUUUCAAGGGAUAGAUACCUAA